CCGGAGAGUCGCGCGGCAGUGCAGACGACGGAGGAGAAGGAAUCGGCGGCGGCUGGGCUGAAAACAGAGGAGAAAGGAGAGGGGAGACAGCCGGCGGUUACAGGUUCACGCGGCGGCCUUGCUUCGCGAACAGAGAUGGCGGCCGACGGUUGCAGCGACGUCCGGCUGGGUUUGGACGGAACGGAGAGGAAAAGAGAAGAUGGAGAUGGCCGAC
rnacentral:lncRNA from 1 species